rnacentral:misc_RNA from 1 species
AAGGUCGUAACAAGGUUUUCCCGUAGGUGAACCUGCGGAAGGAUCAUUAAAUGAGUUGUCCUGCACCCCGUCUGGGGGAAUUGAGGGUCUACGGGUGAGGCUCGGAGUUAAACCCCCAGGGUCCCCGUCUCUUCCACCCUGUGUAUACCUUCCACGUUGCUUUGGCGGGCCCUGGGUACGUCCUUCUGGGCACCCUGCCGGCGUCGAACUUCGUCCCCCAGCCGGCGAGCGCCCGCCAGAGACCCUUUACCAUUCUGAUUUUUUUUCCCGAACUGUCGUCUGAGCAAAAAAGCACAAAAGUAAAAGUAAAAU